rnacentral:rRNA from 1 species
UACGUAGGGUGCAAGCGUUGUCCGGAAUUAUUGGGCGUAAAGAGCUUGUAGGCGGUUUGUCGCGUCUGCUGUGAAAUUUCGGGGCUCAACCCCGAACUUGCAGUGGGUACGGGCAGACUAGAGUGUGGUAGGGGAGACUGGAAUUCCUGGUGUAGCGGUGAAAUGCGCAGAUAUCAGGAGGAACACCGAUGGCGAAGGCAGGUCUCUGGGCCACUACUGACGCUGAGGCGCGAAAGCCAGGGGAGCGAACGGG